rnacentral:rRNA from 1 species
GACGAACGCUGGCGGCGUGCUUAACACAUGCAAGUCGAACGGAAAGGCCCUGCUUUUGUGGGGUGCUCGAGUGGCGAACGGGUGAGUAACACGUGAGUAACCUGCUCUUGUCUUUGGGAUAACUUCAGGAAACUGGGGCUAAUACCGGAUAGGAGCUCCUGCUGCAUGGUGGGGGUUGGAAAGUUUCGGCGGUUGGGGAUGGACUCGCGGCUUAUCAGCUUGUUGGUGGGGUAGUGGCUUACCAAGGCUUUGACGGGUAGCCGGCCUGAGAGGGUGACCGGCCACAUUGGGACUGAGAGACGGCCCAGACUCCUACGGGAGGCAGCAGUGGGGAAUAUUGCACAAUGGGCGGAAGCCUGAUGCAGCAACGCCGCGUGCGGGAUGACGGCCUUCGGGUUGUAAACCGCUUUCGCCUGUGACGAAGCGUGAGUGACGGUAAUGGGUAAAGAAGCACCGGCUAACUACGUG